AGCGGAGGAAAAGAAACCAACAGGGAAUUCCCCUAGUAACGGCGAGUGAAGCGGGAACAGCUCAAAUUUGAAAUCUGGCCUUCGGGUCCGAAUUGUAAUUUGCAGAGGAUGCUUUUGGUUAGGUACUUUCCGAGUUCCCUGGAACGGGACGCCUUAGAGGGUGAGAGCCCCGUACGGUUGGAUACCGAGCCUUUGUAAAGCUCCUUCGACGAGUCGAGUAGUUUGGGAAUGCUGCUCUAAAUGGGAGGUAAAUUUCUUCUAAAGCUAAAUAUUGGCCAGAGACCGAUAGCGCACAAGUAGAGUGAUCGAAAGAUGAAAAGCACUUUGAAAAGAGGGUUAAAUAGCACGUGAAAUUGUUGAAAGGGAAGCGUUUAUGACCAGACUUUUUCCAGGCGAAUCAUCCGGUGUUCUCGCCGGUGCACUUCGUCUGGUUGAGGCCAGCAUCGGUUUUCGUGGGGGGAUAAAAGCGGUGGGAAUGUGACUCCUCCGGGAGUGUUAUAGCCCGCCGUAUAAUACCUCCAUGGGGACCGAGGUUCGCGCAUCUGCAAGGAUGCUGGCGUAAUGGUCAUCAACGACCCGUCUUGAAACACGGACCAAGGAGUCGAACAUUUGUGCAAGUGUUUGGGUGUUAAACCCUCACGCGUAAUGAAAGUGAACGGAGGUGAGAGCCCUUACGGGUGCAUCAUCGACCGAUCCUGAUGUUUUCGGAUGGAUUUGAGUAAGAGCAUAACUGUUCGGACCCGAAAGAUGGUGAACUAUGCGUGGAUAGGGUGAAGCCAGAGGAAACUCUGGUGGAGGCUCGCAGCGGUUCUGACGUGCAAAUCGAUCGUCAAAUCUGCGCAUGGGGGGCGAAAGACUAAUCGAACCAUCUAGU
rnacentral:rRNA from 1 species